GCGUGGAAGCACCGUGAGGUGUGGAGCUUACCGGUACUAAUCGGCCGAGAACAACACAAACAAA
rnacentral:rRNA from 1 species